rnacentral:rRNA from 1 species
GACAGGAGGAUGCAAGCGUUACUCCGGAAUGAUUGGGCGUAAAGGCGUCUGUAGGUGGCUUUUCAAGUCCGCCGUCAAAUCCCAGGGCUACAACCCUGGACGGCGGUGGAAACUACCAAGCUGGAGUAACGGUAGGGGCAGAGGGUAAUUUCCGGCGGAGGCGGUGAAAAUGACAUUUGAGAUCGGAAAGAACAACCAACG